GGAAACUCCACAGGGACCGCAGCAUCCUGCGCGCCCAGCCCGGCCGCCCCUCGCCUCCCCGUGUCGGCGGAAGGGGCGGGGGUAACAGCCCCGCCCGCCGUACCUCGCCGCCCGGCCUCCCGGAAACACCGCCCGCGCUCCGCCGGUGCCGGCUAUGGAGGAGGAGGAGGCCGCGACCCUACACUGGAUGGACCAGGCUUUUGACAUGGCCAAAGAGGCGCUGGAGUGCGGGGAGGUUCCUGUGGGCUGCCUGCUGGUGCACAACGGCCAGGCCAUCGGGAGCGGCAGGAACGAGGUCAACGAGACCAAGAACGCUACUCGACAUGCAGAAAUGGUCGCAAUCGAUCGAGUCCUUGACUGGUGCAAGCAACACAACAGGGAUUAUACAGAAGUGUUUCCACAGACAGUAUUGUAUGUAACUGUAGAGCCUUGUAUCAUGUGUGCAGCUGCUGUGCGCUUGAUGAAAAUUCCACGGGUCGUAUAUGGCUGUCGAAAUGAGCGAUUUGGAGGCUGUGGCUCAGUUUUGAGCAUCUCAUCUGAUGACAUGGUAGACACAGGAGAACCAUUUGAAGUAAGCUAUAAAAUGAUUUCCUUUGUUUUUCAACUAGGACGCUGUGCCUCGCUUUGUUACCAUGCUUCAAGAACGUUAUGCAUCCGUUUAAGAGAACUCAGAUGAAAGAUGAUCAGAAAUCAAUGUGUUUCUGGCUAUCGUGCCAAAGAGGCAGUGGAAAUGUUAAAAGCUUUCUACAGACAAGAAAAUCCCAACGCACCAAAAUCAAAAGUACGGAAGAAGGACCAUCGUAAUUAGCCCUAUAGUGUUGGGAGACAAACUUAACAAAAAAUGAUAGGUGAAGGUUUCUUUAGCAUCCUUCUUUUUUAAAAUGUACAGUCCAGUUAAACUGUCUUCAUGUUCUGUAGAGAGUUUUUACUAAUAGGACACUUACUACCUGUUCCUGCGUUUCUGUGUAUGUGAUUUCUUGUUAUCAUACAUGACCAAGCAGAAGAAUAAGGGGCUCUUUUUAGAAAAAGGAAAAUUUAUGAUUCAAGUUCAGUUGUUUACAGACAGAUGGAUCCAUUAAAAUGAUGCCAUUCUGUCCAUCACAUUCUAAAUAUUUUCUUCUGUCUGUGGAGAAGCAUCUUGCUUUUCAAUGGUAGCUGUUUGCCUAGGCAAAUCCAAGUAAAGGUCUUGGAAGGUUACAUUUGUAACACCUUCACACUCCUUGUGUGUAUAUUUAAUCAAAAGGCACAUAAGGAAUUGUACAGUCCUUGAAGAUUUGAGAUAAAACCAUUUUAAUGGAUCUUCAUUAUUUUUUACACCCCCUUUAGCAUAAGCCAAAUUUUAAAACCUAACUUCUGAAAGUCACGUACCUGUGUAGACAGGUAUGUUUGCAGAAUCACGUCUCAGUUUGUGUAUGCUAUUCCUAAUAAGCAUAAGCAAGUAUCAGUUGGCUGCACAGCAUCUUCAUACCCAGUUGUGAAGAAGCUCUCCACAACUUCUGCUCCUCUUGUGAAUAUUAGCAUAAGAAAUGCUUUAUCAUUAAGAAUCCAUUAGGAAGUUGAAGUUGUUGGUGGCUACUAAAUUAUAACAACUGAGAGGGGUAGAUACAUGUGAAAACCAAGCAACGAAAUCAGUAACAGUAUGAAGAAAAUAUCCUUGAGAUGUUUAUUUUCUUGUAGCGUUGCUUGGCUUUGUUAUUUCCAUGCACUGUGCUUGCCCAUGCAGUAAUUUAUAAUCCAGAAGAGGGCCUUACAGUUCCACUAAUGAAUUAGGAAUACAAGUACAGUUCAGUCUGUAUUAUAUACCUCUUAGUGGAUACUCAUCUUAAGCAUGAAACUGUUUGCCGUUUAUUCAGCUGAUGCUCAGAAAUUUGAGAAAUUACUUAACUUUUUUUAUGUAAAAGAGGGGUUAGAAUUUUAUGACUAUAAAAACUGAAUAUGAUUGAAUCUUUUAGAUGAUUCAAAUAAAUACUUUACAAAGUGUUUUUAAACAUUUUUUAAAAGAGCAUUACUUUGUCACCAUUGCUUCUAAUAGCUUAGAAUUUGUAUUGUGUGUGUUUACUUAUUGUUUACAAAUUAAUGUGAGAAAGAAGCAUUUUUACCGUAAUAGCUGUUUUCAGAGUUUAGAAAUAGUAUUCCUUCCACUGAUGCCUGUGACCUGUCCUAUUCUCCUGACUGUUGCGGCACUCUUGAGUCUUUUCCUUCCCAUAAGCAAGAGCAGUUGUGACCCUGUUCGUAGAUGUCAUCAGCUUUGGAACCAUGAGGGCUCCUGAACCAGACAGCUAAGCUGGAAAAGCUGUUUAAGAAAAGACUGUUUCUAAUGAUGGCGAUGGCUUUAUUGGCAAGGAAUGGUCAGACCUGUGGUUGUGGCAUUUGGCUGGUGAUACAAAAUAGCUAUUUGUCUGUGCAGAUCCAUACAUUCAGUUCUCAACUGGACCAUAAUUUUCUUAUACCUUGAAGAAGUCACUGAAGUCCAAAUUAAAGGAAGGCAUCGGAUUUCUGGCUUGUCACUGACAUCAGUGACUGUAGGAAUUGCAGCCUAUGGAUUGUUUUGGACCAGGACAUGAAUCUCUCUGCACCUCUUCUUCUGCGGAGUGACUAAGAAUGUUUUCCUUCUCCACUACCUUCUUUCAAAGAAGAAUAUUGUCUGCAUUUGGAUAAUGUGACUGUAGGAGCUGUGUAAAUAAGUAGGAAGAUUACUGAUAGUAGGAUAGCACAGAACACUAAAAGCUGUGUCUAAUUCUGCAAUCCUUAAAAAUGGAACAGAAAUAUUUUAUAAUAGUAGCCAGUGGUAACCUGUCACUUAGAAAACAGUUUAAGUCUCAGUCAAAGCCAAAGGAAUCUGAAGAGGGUGACAGAAAUUUUUAAAUUUCUCGUAAGAGCGACCAAGGGUAAUAAUGUGCAUCUUAGAAAAGGAGCAUAAAAGAGGAAUAGCAUAGCAAGCUAAAAACUAUUGUUAGGUUAUAAAAGGUAUUUUUUACUAUUUAGUGUAAUGUGUGAGCAAAAAAAGUCUAAUAUUAAGAUGAAUGGCGGGGGGUAAGUAUAAUAAUUAGCUUGGGGAACAAAUGGCUAAAGGAUUACAAUGAAAGCAAAAAUGUAGUCCAUUCUUAAAAUCCUUUUACUAAUGUAAGAACAAAUGCAGAUACCCAAGGUGUCUUUAUAAAAGAAAGAUAUUAACUCAUGUUUGAAGACAAGCCGCUCAUCAGAGCCAUGGCGUGACAUCCCCAGAACUGGUAGGCGGGUGGCUGCAUCCUCUCCCUGCCGCCCCGCGCAGGGCUGUCCUCCUUUCCUGCAACCCGCCAGCAGCAGAGCCUGGUCCUCCUGGCUUCCUCAGAGAUGUCCUGGGGUCACUGUCCCUAUCUGAUGUGCUGCACCUCUUCCUAACCACAAACUGGAGUGCUCCAGAAGAACUUACAGAGGUCCGGGGCAGAAGGCUCCAGGUUCAGGCUCAGAGAAACCUCUCCAUGGCUGAGCUCAACACAGGGCCUGGUAGAAGGCAGGAGGCAGCCAGGACAGUUAGAGCCCAGUGAGCUGAGCGGUUUCAGUGUUCCAGAUCAGAAAAUUAAAUUAACAGGAAAGAAAAUUGGAGACUACAGAAAGAAGAAUGUGAGAAAAAGAACUGAGCUGUUCUUGGAAUACUUAUUCAAUGAGAAGGAGACAAUUGCUCAUGACUGUGGAAGCACAGGCUUGGUUUGUAGCUGUUGCAACCAAAUAAAAUCCUGUAGCAAACCAUGCCAGAGGCACCCCGGGAAGGAAGAGCCUGAUGGGUUGCACAGCCUGGAAGAAGCGUUGCUCUCUGCGUGCUGGGGAUCUGGGUCUCAGGCCUUGGCUCUAGCCAUAAAAGUGUCAAGAGCAACAAUUUUAAUUGUUGCUGCCACCUGGAAAAACUCAGACCAGCAGCUUAUAAAUGAUGCUAUUCGUUUUCACAGUGCUUUUACUCAUUUUUAUCUAUUUGUGUCUAUGUUGCCACAAAGCAGGCCUCAACAGCAGAAGUAAAUAUAUUCAACUGGUUUAUUUAAAGAGUUUAAAUGCUCACCUCACCAUUUUUCCCUUGCUGCUUGAUAAAUAAAUCUGUAGGCUUCAGCAUUACAUUUACCUUGAACUGUGUUUUUGCCAGUUCAUCACAGGCAAACCUGAUUUUAUUUCAGCCUUUGGUUUGCUUGUCAAUAGUCUAACAUCAAAAUAUAUUGAAUAAGCUAGGAGGGCAAGGAAGCAAAACAACACGGCUUUGUCUCUGCUAAACUAAUUACCAUUGACAAUUCAAGGCUAUAAUAAAUAUGUCUUGUGACUUGCACAAGAGGAGAACCUGAAUUUAAAUUAUAGCUUUGGGUUUUGAAAUGCUCACUGAUCCAUUCCAUUCUCAUUAAGAGUGCCUUCCGCUCUGCGAAAUUAAGUGAUAUCUUUACAUGACAGUUUAAUUUAAUUAAUUUAUUUUUCAAUAUGUACAUGUAUUGAGUUUCUCCAUUAAGCUUUUGAAAUGUCUGUGGGUCCUAUACAUUAACGUAAAUGCGCCAUGGCCCAUAAUUACCUUUGGCAGGCUUAGGGCACUGAUAAAAAGAUUAUAUUUUUUUAAAAAACUAAAGCCUUCAAACUUCCCCAGUGCUUGGCAGGAAAUCUGUUUCUGUGUUUUAUUUGGAGCAAGGCUGGGGAGCCUGCAGCCAACAGCUCCAGUGUAGGCAGUAACUGUUGUAUUUUAGAAGAAAAUACGUUUGAGGCUAGAUGAGAGAAGGGGAGAGGAAGACAAUUAGUGUGAGAGUACUAGAAGCAGCUGUUUGUUUUGCCUUGUGGCUGCCAGUAUAUACUCUUAUCAUUGAAGUGCAUCUAGAUACAGGGUAUUUUCUAUGAAAUUACUUUGCAAAAUAUGGAUCUUUGUCUUUUUAAGGGGCUGCCCCAAAGUGGGUUUGUCUUCCUUUUUCACAAUAGCUCUGUGCUAACCAAGAAUGCUGGAUUCUCCCCUUGCCUCCUCCUUCCUCCUUUCUAAAAAUGAACUUUUCAGGAAAAUAAGGAAUUCAGAGAAGUUUGAAGGAGAGCAGAUGGCCAGCAGCAAUCCAAUAGGAUGUAAAAGUUCAGUUAGGUAGUCACUUGGCAGGCAAGUACAAGGGAGCCCAUGAUGUUUCCAUAGUGAUGUUUUCACAUAGCGCCUUUCCUUUGUCUUUUAAAAAAAACAAAAAGGAGAGGAUAAAAUAAAAUGCUCUGUAGACCUGAACAUUUAGCAUGGUGUAAUUAACUCUGCCCUCCCCAGGGCCAGUGACUUGGGCUGAAGAGCGAUGCACUGACCGCAGCUGUGGUCGCACUUGCCAGCCUCUGCUACCGCGGCAUUUGUGGGGCUGCCCAUGUUGCUGGAUAAAGCAGGGACAGCUUCCGAAAUUGAGAAGUGACUCAGGCUGUAGUGCUCUUGGAGAGGAAAUUGCCUGGCCGCUGAUUUUUGUGGUGUCAGGAUUUCACAUUUACAUAUGGGGGAAGGUUCGUCGUGGCACUUCUUUAACCUUUGGAGCUUUCUCUGUGAGGCAGGGUAAUAAAAAUUGACAUUCUCCUUGACUUGGGUUCCUACUUUCUCUUUUGAAGUCUGAGAGGUAACCAUUACAGUCACAUUAAUUUGCGAGGAUAUAAACAAGUGCCUUUAUCUGUGCAGCCGUAUUGUGCAAGAGAAACAAGGUUUGUAGGGAGAGGCAGCAUUUUUUAUUGAGCCAAAUGAUACAGGUGGAAAAAACAGACAAGCUUUUCAACAAUCAGCUGUAGAGACACUGAGUUCAAAAGCUCACCAGCUUUUUCCACACAUCUAGUGGAAGUAAAAUGAAAAUAUUUAAGUACAUGUUUUUAUAUACUACGUCCCUGUAAAUCUUGCUUUUCUUGAAAAAAUUUGACAAAUUUGAGCAGGAAAAGAGGUUGUAGAGGAGACUGGACUCGUGGUAAACUCUGUUCCUUACUCCCCAACAGACCUCUGCUGCGUCUGCACAGAUCUCAGCCUGUGUGCCAGCACUUUGUGGGGACCCAAUGCAAUUUUCCCUUCCCAAAAGCCUCCCAGCAAGGUGCUGGAUGCAGCAGCUCAGUUACUGAGCCCCUCACCUUCAAGCAGGAAGACUCCUGAGGAGAAGGAGCUUCCUAGCAGGAGUGCUGUGGGAUAGAGGGAGAGUAGCACACGUUACCUGUGGUUUACAGAUCACAGCAUCAACUCUCUCAAUGCCAGUGGUACAAGCAAAUGAAGUCAGUUUAGCCUGGGAACAAAACUACCUGGCUGCUCUCCUGGCCCCACCAUACACUCAGAGCUCCCUGGCAAGAAAACCCUCUGCUUGUGUAGUGGCUAGCCUGUUAUUACUAAACCUGACCCUGGAGACAGCAAAUACUUGAUUUUUUAAAUGAAAUUAAUUGUCUUAACCUUUCCAACUUCUUUCCAGUCAUGCUGUGCAGUAUUUGUACUGGCAGCACCAGCCUGAAUGAAUAAUUCAAAACUAUACCUGCUUAGUGCACUUUUUUAAUAGUUAACUGUGUUCAUCCUGUCAGGAUGCUCAAGCUGCCCGUGACAACGGGAAGAACUGGAAGCUCUCAGGCAUGGUCGCAACAGAACCUUGAUUACUUACAACGUAGGGCGCUUCAGUAGUGUUUCCACUGCAGGGAAGAGCUGGCAACAUCAGUGUGGGCAGCUGCAGCUCAAGGAGGUUCAACAUGUGGAUUUACAGAGUUGUGGCAGUGCAGAGGGAAGUGACGGAUUGGCGUUGUGAUGGGUUGGCGCUGGGCCAAGUGAGGGGGCUCAGACUUGUCCCUUUCCCAUCUUCACCUUAACCCUGUGACGUGGCUGUUUCCUCAGUGCUCACCCACUUCAGUGUGUUGUACUGAAACGUUUAUUCAUUAGUUCCUGGAAGUCUUACUCAAGGUAGGGCAGGCCUUUAAUCCUCCGUUACACGCUCCGGCACAACUACAGAGUUCUCCUGUUUGGAGCCACCUGCCUGCUCCCUUCAGAUUUCAGACCAGCACCGGGCAGCGCUACUCAGCAGCAGUCAGCACUUAACCUGCGCACCGAGGCUGUAAUUACCAACCUAACUCCAAGAUAACUUUGUGCCUGGUCCUGUGCUGAGCUCAACCUGGCUGUACCAAGGAAUCUGCCUCCCUGCCAAUUUCAUCCAUGAUUUUUUCAUUUUGCACUCUUUUCUCUCCUGCUGCCCCGCAAAGCAGCGAGGAGCUGUGCCACGGAGCUGCAGUGGUGAGGAGCCUCUGCCCUCCUGCCUUUCUGCCGCUCCAGCUAGAAAAACGCCAGCUAUGGAGAAGGAAUAACCCACGAGGAGCCUAAUGAAACAGCAAUCUGGCAUUAAGAUGUGCAUAUAGUUGCCAUUUGUUAAAUUGACAGAUGACAUUUGGAACAUGCAGCCCCUAUUCAUUUUCUAAAGCUAAGUACUUUCUUGAAAUAAAGUCUUUGCCAUUAGUCUUAAAGCCAAUUUCCAGCCCAGACAGGGCCAGCUGUGCUUUUACACAUUUUCUGGGCACAAGGUCAGAUUCCUAGCAGCUGUUAAGAUUAUUUUUUAAAUUUGUUUUUGCAACGAACUGGACAAUUAAUGAACAAUAAACUAUUACCUGCCUUCCAGAUUA